AACCUGGUGCUGCCCAGCAGAGUGGAAAGAGCAUGUUUUUUUUGCAGUAAGUUCCAACGGCAGCUCCACCAGCCACGUGGGAGGUGUUUGUGUCACACGAUUUUGGUCCACUGUGCUACUCUUAAGAGAAGGAGCUCAUCAUCAAGUCUUUCACUAAACUGUCCCCUCGAGAUUUCCAGGACUCCAGGGAGCCACAGUGAGUACAACUUCAAUACUCUCAACUUCUCCAAAGCCUCUAUUUCCAUUCUCCUCCUUCCUGUCUUUUCUCUUGUUAUCAUGAAAACGCUCAGGCAUGUUCCUUGAACUGUGACAAAUUAGUAGGGGGGCAGACCACACAGUCGCAGAGUCACAUAUCACCCACACUUUCAGUCACCCUCCAAACUGCUGAGUGUCCUAGUAUUGGGAAUGGUGUGAGGUGCUGAGGGGCACAGAGAGGAGGAGACCCCCACAAGGGGCUCGGGUCUCAAAGGGAGGCUCAGUGAAUGCAUGAAUAACUACUAGGGGAGUGUGGAUCUUUGGAGGACAGUCCUGGCUGAGACUCAGGCUCCCUGGAGACAAU
ensembl:lincRNA